rnacentral:rRNA from 1 species
AGUGAACGCUGGCGGUAGGCCUAACACAUGCAAGUCGAACGGCAGCACAGUAAGAGCUUGCUCUUACGGGUGGCGAGUGGCGGAUGGGUGAGGAAUACAUCGCAAUCCACUUUUUCGUGGGGGAUAACGUAGGGAAACUUACGCUAAUACCGCAUAUGACCUACGGGUGAAAGCAGGGGAUCUUUGGACCUUGCGUGAUUGAAUGAGCUGAUGUCGGAUUAGCUAGUUGGCGGGGUAAAGGCCCACCAAGGCGACGAUCCGUAGCUGGUCUGAGAGGAUGAUCAGCCACACUGGAACUGAGACACGGUCCAGACUCCUACGGGAGGCAGCAGUGGGGAAUAUUGGACAAUGGGCGCAAGCCUGAUCCAGCCAUACCGCGUGGGUGAAGAAGGCCUUCGGGUUGUAAAGCCCUUUUGUUGGGAAAGAAAAGCAGCAGGAUAAUACCCGGCUGUUCUGACGGUACCCAAAGAAUAAGCACCGGCUAACUUCGUG